rnacentral:rRNA from 1 species
GGCGGCGUGCUUUAACACAUGCAAGUCGAACGGUAAGGCCCUUCGGGGUACACGAGUGGCGAACGGGUGAGUAACACGUGGGUGAUCUGCCCUGCACUUCGGGAUAAGCUUGGGAAACUGGGGUCUAAUACCGGAUAGGACCACGGUCUGCAUGGAUUGUGGUGGAAAGCUUUUGCGGUGUGGGAUGGGCCCGCGGCCUAUCAGCUUGUUGGUGGGUGAUGGCCUACCAAGGCGACGACGGGUAGCCGGCCUGAGAGGGUGUCCGGCCACACUGGGACUGAGAUACGGCCCAGACUCCUACGGGAGGCAGCAGUGGGGAAUAUUGCACAAUGGGCGCAAGCCUGAUGCAGCGACGCCGCGUGGGGGAUGACGGCCUUCGGGUUGUAAACCUCUUUCAGCAGGGACGAAGGGUGACUGACGGUACCUGUAGAAGAAGCACCGGCCAACUACGUG